CCUACGGGAGGCAGCAGUGGGGAAUAUUGGGCAAUGGGGGAAACCCUGACCCAGCAACGCCGCGUGAAGGAAGAAGGCUUUCGGGUUGUAAACUUCUUUUACCAGGGACAAAGAAUGUGACGGUACCUGGAGAAAAAGCUCCGGCUAACUACGUGCCAGCAGCCGCGGUAUUACGGAGGGAGCGAGCGUUGUCCGGAUUUGCUGGGUGUAAAGGGCGUGUAGGCGGAGCUGCAAGUCAGAAGUGAAAUCUUCGGGCUCAACCCGGAAACUGCUUUUGAAACUGUAGCCCUUGAGUAUCGGAGAGGCAGGCGGAAUUCCUGGUGUAGCGGUGAAAUGCGUAGAUAUUAGGAGGAACACCGGCGGCGAAGGCGGUCUGCUGGACCGCGACUGACGUUGAGGCUCGAAAGCGUGGGGAGCGAACAGGAUUAGAUACCCUUGUAGUC
rnacentral:rRNA from 1 species